rnacentral:lncRNA from 1 species
CUGUUGUGCUCCUCCCCAGGCUUGAUGCUGUAAGCUGGGCUGUGGCCUCUAGAUAAGUAUUCCAUGGCUUGCCACCAGCCAAGGGAAGGGAACAUGGCAGUUCUGCACAUGUAGCCACUACAUACUCAAAACCAGAAGUCACAAUAGCUCCAAUAAAAUCAUGUCCCUGAUCUUCUACAUGCUGGGAGUAGAGACUCCUGCCCUCCACCCCCUCUUCAUGAAAUUAUGGAAGAAAGCCAAGUAUUGUCUCUGCUGAGCCCUGAUUGUGGCACUGUGUCAGCACUGUGGGAAUCUCAUAAACCCACUGUAUAACCUAUCAAGUCAUUUCCUCACCUCACGUGAGAUUUGAGAAGGUUUGUCUCAACAAGUCUGCAGCCCAUUUACAAAGUUGACAGAUUGGAGAAGUGAUGUAACUUCACUGCAGAAAACUGUGUUUAUCUAAAAGAAGGAACUGUCAUGUAAUCUAGCCCUGAAUCACUACUGCUAUCUUCCAGUUUGUCACUGAGGCCAUAGGAUUUCUCUUUCCGUGUCUGUUGACUUUGGAAAAAUAUUCAUUGUUAGUGUCACAAACUGUUUUCUGCUUUUAAGAUCUUCACUCUUGAAUUUCAUGUCCUGUUUAUUCCACACUUAGAGAUCAGAAGGUUGGAUAAGACCACUGGGGUCAUUUCAGCUGCACUAUAAUUACAAGAUUAUCCUCUCCACUAAUCUCUCAACUGUUUUAUCUCAUCUACUUUGAACAUAGCUUUGUUGGUGCUUCAGUGACCUCCUUUGAAAAGCUACUCAACAGCCCAAUGGACUUUAUGGGCAGAUUUUUUUUUAUCAGGAGUUCCAGCUGAGCAGCUCCCUAAAGCGAUUCAGCAGGAGGCCAAGGAAGCCAGACUGAGGUCUGGAGGAAACCACUUGCCCCUGGGAGAGAGUUUGAACCCCAUGAGGGCAGAAACAGCAGCGUGCGUAUGGGCUUUGUACACGAAAAGCUGCAUUUUCUUCAUUAUUGGGCUGUAGGUCCAGCCCUCAGAAAACAAGAGAAAAGCAAAAAAGCUCAUUCAAAAGUCAGCUGAAAAAAUAUCUAGGAUUUCUGCCUCCCUCCACUUUGGAAGAGGUAA